GCCUGGGGUUGAGCAGCUGCAUCUGUUGGAUUUCUGCUCGGCUGUACUGUCGGUCGUCCGUUCGCUGGGAUUGCCGCGCUCGGUGGCCGCGGUUGCUUCGGUUCGACUGCUCUUCGCUUGCUGCCGUCGUUACUUGCUGCUGUCACCUGCUGCUGGGCUUGCCUCUGCUGUCUUCCUACGCUUUCUUGUUUCUCAG